UGGGGAAUAUUGGACAAUGGGCGAAAGCCUGAUCCAGCAAUGCCGCGUGUGCGACGAAGGCCUUCGGGUCGUAAAGCACUUUCAAUGGGGAGGAAAACCAUAGAAUUAAUACCUCUAUGGCUUGACGUUAUCCAUACAAGAAGCACCGGCUAACUCUGUGCCAGCAGCCGCGGUAAUACAGAGGGUGCAAGCGUUAAUCGGAGUUACUGGGCGUAAAGCGCACGUAGGCGGAUAUGAAAGUCAGAUGUGAAAUCCCUGGGCUCAACCUAGGAACUGCAUCCAAAACUGAUUCACUAGAGUACGAAAGAGGAAAGUAGAAUUCACAGUGUAGCGGUGGAAUGCGUAGAUAUUGUGAAGAAUACCGAUGGCGAAGGCAGCUUUCUGGAUCAUUACUGACACUGAGGAACGAAAGCAUGGGUAGCGAAGAGG
rnacentral:rRNA from 1 species